AGUUGGGCGUGAGGCCCUAAAGCCACUUCCACAUCCACCGCAGCCCUAUCUCCUCUCGCCUCCCUUUUCUUUUGUGAUUCCAUUCCCCUCUCACGCCAAACCUCUAAUCCCUGUUUCUUUGCAGGUCCUUAAAGUACUCCAUGUCAUUGGGUCUAUUAUCCUUCCAAACCAAUAGCAAGGGGGCCCUGUUGCAACGGAAGAUGAAGCUUGGUUAUCCAAUCAUCAACCCUCAAGAGUGAGAUCAAGGAUCCUCCUCCAGAAAAAUUUCAGAAGUUCAAUGUUUGGUAAGCCUCAACUCUAGGUCUGAUUUAUUGAAGAAAGCAUCCUAAUCUAGUGGUUUCUCAACCACAACGGUCCAU
rnacentral:lncRNA from 1 species